GGAGAUAAUAAAGAUGUUUCAAAGACUGAGGUGGGAGAGAAUGAAGAUGUUUCAAAGAAUGAGGGUACUCGUCAAAGUCAAGACUGUAUGACAGUAAGGACAUUAUGGUAAAGCCAGACUAUGGUUAUCAACAAAGCCCAUGGCACUUCGUGCUUAUGUUAAAAUGUUGUAACAUUAUGUUUGCUUAAACCUUCAGUUCAGAUUCGGGUAGAGUUAAAGAUAUCAUACACUUAUAGAAUACGUGCAAAAUAGUAAAAGCCGAAACAUUUUCAGAGCUUUACGAUGACCAAAAUUGCAGGAAAUGAACUGGAUGGAUAUAGGCAAAUGUCAGUUCAAGUUUCUACUCUGACGAAAUUUAUAUGGUUUAAAAUGGCCACCAAUGUAAAUGUUGUAAAGAUAUUAACAACCAUUCAACAACCAUAAAAAGGAAUCUGAUGGAAGAAACUCCAAUAGAGACGAGAUGAAUUAUAACUGGGGUGGCCAUCAUGGACAGCAGGGUGUCUUUAUUCAGCCACUAGUUUAUCGCUAUGACAACCAUGAUACGACAGCAAAAACUUAUUUGAUCUAAUAAAAACGUUUUACUAGCAUUGAUAUUUUAAAUAACUGUAUGAAAUUCAUAUCUGAUUAAACAUGAUGCAACAAUACGCAUGGAAAGAGAAAAGAAUAUACAUGCAAGGAGUAUUUAAUUGAUGAAAACGUAGUAAACACGACAUGAAAUGUAAUAUAGCCAGGAAUUAAAGUGAAUUUAUGAUAUCAUUAACGUUGAAA